rnacentral:rRNA from 1 species
UACGUAGGCAGCGAGCGUUGUUCGGAGUUACUGGGCGUAAAGGGUGUGUAGGCGGUUGUUUAAGUUUGGUGUGAAAUCUCCCGGCUCAACUGGGAGGGUGCGCCGAAUACUGAAUGACUUCGAGUGCGGGAGAGGAGAGUGGAAUUCCUGGUGUAGCGGUGAAAUGCGUUGAUAUCAGGAGGAACACCGGUGGUGUAGACGGCUCUCUGGACCGUAACUGACGCUGAGACACGAAAGCGUGGGUAGCAAACAGG